rnacentral:rRNA from 1 species
GACGAACGCUGGCGGCGUGCCUAAUACAUGCAAGUCGAGCGCAGGAAGCUGACGGAACUCUUCGGAGAGAAGGCAGUGGAAUGAGCGGCGGACGGGUGAGUAACACGUAAGGAACCUGCCUCAAGGAUUGGGAUAACUCCGAGAAAUCGGAGCUAAUACCGGAUAGUUCAACGGACCGCAUGGUCCGCUGAUGAAAGGAGCUUCGGCGUCACCUUGAGAUGGCCUUGCGGUGCAUUAGCUAGUUGGUGGGGUAACGGCCCACCAAGGGGACGAUGCGUAGCCGACCGGUAGGGGGGAUCGGCCACACUGGGACUAGGACACGGACCAGACUCCUACGGGAGGCAGCAGUAGGGAAUCUUCCACAAUGGACGAAAGUCUGAUGGAGCAACGCCGCGUGAGUGAUGAAGGUUUUCGGAUCGUAAAACUCUGUUGUAAGGGAAGAACACGUACGAGAGGGAAUGCUCGUACCUUGACGGUACCUUACGAGAAAGCCACGGCUAACUACGUGCCAGCCGCCGCGGUAA